rnacentral:rRNA from 1 species
AGUGAACGCUGGCGGUAGGCCUAACACAUGCAAGUCGAACGGCAGCGCAGGAGAGCUUGCUCUCUGAGUGGCGAGUGGCGGACGGGUGAGGAAUACAUCGGAAUCUACUUUUUCGUGGGGGAUAACGUAGGGAAACUUACGCUAAUACCGCAUACGACCUACGGGUGAAAGCAGGGGAUCUUCGGACCUUGCGCGAUUGAAUGAGCCGAUGUCGGAUUAGCUAGUUGGCGGGGUAAAGGCCCACCAAGGCGACGAUCCGUAGCUGGUCUGAGAGGAUGAUCAGCCACACUGGAACUGAGACACGGUCCAGACUCCUACGGGAGGCAGCAGUGGGGAAUAUUGGACAAUGGGCGCAAGCCUGAUCCAGCCAUACCGCGUGGGUGAAGAAGGCCUUCGGGUUGUAAAGCCCUUU